GAUGAACGCUGGCGGCGUGCCUAAUACAUGCAAGUCGAGCGAACAGACGAGGAGCUUGCUCCUCUGACGUUAGCGGCGGACGGGUGAGUAUCACGUGGAUAACCUACCUAUAGACUGGGAUAACUUCGGGAAACCGGAGCUAAUACCGGAUAAUAUAUUGAACCGCAUGGUUCAAUAGUGAAAGACGGUUUUGCUGUCACUUAUAGAUGGAUCCGCGCCGCAUUAGCUAGUUGGUAAGGUAACGGCUUACCAAGGCAACGAUGCGUAGCCGACCUGAGAGGGUGAUCGGCCACACUGGAACUGAGACACGGUCCAGACUCCUACGGGAGGCAGCAGUAGGGAAUCUUCCGCAAUGGGCGAAAGCUUGACGGAGCAACGCCGCGUGAGUGAUGAAGGUCUUCGGAUCGUAAAACUCUGUUAUUGGGGAAGAACAAAUGUGUAAGUAACUAUGCACGUCUUGACGGUACCUAAUCAGAAAGCCACGGCUAACUACGUG
rnacentral:rRNA from 1 species